GAGGGUAAACGAGUAUCGUGUGGCCGAGGGUUUGAUCCGGGGUGUCCGGCCAGCAUUGCUCAACAGUUCCAGCAAUUUCAAGUCCUGUUGCAGAGGUAUAUAGAGAAUGAGCCUUAUGAACAAGGCAGGAGACCAGAGAUAUAUGCCAGGAUGAGGCUAUUGGCACCCAAAUUGCUCCUAGUCCCAGAAUAUAGAGGUAAGUUUUGAUCAAUCUAAAUCUCUAUUUAAUUUUGAUUUAAGAGAGAAUUACUGAUGGAAUGUGUUAAUAUUAUGUAUAUAAAUUGAAUAAUAUUUCCUCUAUAUGUUAAGUAACAACUAACUUUUGUCACAUGGAAUUAAAAUAAAUUAAAUUAAAAAUAGACUUAGAAGCAUGAUAGGAUUUUCAAUCAAAUAUAAUAUAGUUCUAAAUCACAAUUAUUUUAAUUUUGUGAAAUUUAUAAUGUUUUUAAUUAAACGAUGAUAUUUUCAGUCUUGAAUUAUGAAAGCAAUUUUCAUGCUCAGUCAAAUGAUAAAAGAGACUAAAAUCAAAAGGGAAAAGGAAAGGAUGAACACAAUUUUGCUUUUUCUUAAAAGGGUAUACUGGAUGUAGUAUAUCCUCUUUAACUUGUUCUUUCAAUUUUAGAUCUAAUUUUUUUAUUAACCGGACUGGACUAACGAUUAUGAUAAAAAAAUUAUUUUAAUUCGAAAGGAUUAGUAAUAUAUUAAGCAUUCAAAUUCAAUUAAUAUUACAAAAAGCAUUUCGAAAGUAAAAUCUUAAAGCACAAAAUAAUUAAAGAACAUCCUCUUUUGACAUUGUAUGACAAAGAUUAAUUAGUAUUAGAAGAGCACAAAAAGUUAAUCGAAGAAUACUCCUAUACUAAAUGCAUCAUAUUUUAUAAUUAAGUCAGUAAACUAAUUUCUUACAUGGUUAUUUAAAUCAAAGAUUCUGAAGAUGAUGAUCAUCACAAGGACGAAGGUUUUGGAUCGAGAAUUUCAUCGGCUUCAUUUCUUAUGAUCAUGGAGGAUGGUAUCCGAACCUUCAUGAAUUUCCUCAAGGCAGACAAGGAGAAUCCCUGCAGCCAAAUCCUUAAAUCUUUCUUUGGCCGAUCAAGAAGAGGCUCAGUUGAUCCAACUCUUCUUCACUUGAUGAAAAAAGUUAAUGCCAAAGUAAGUCUCAACACUAAUGUUUAAACUUGUAAUUAAAACACAAUUAAUUAAAUUAAUUCCUAAUUAAUUAUUUUUCAUACAGAAAAAGAUGAAAUUAAAGGAUCUCCGGAGAGCAGGAAAAUGCAUGAGGAGAAGAAAAUUGAAGAUAGAAGAAGAGAUGGAGAUAUUAAUGGGACUGAUAGAUCUAAAAGUGGUUUCUAGGGUCCUGAGAACGACUGACAUGAACGAAGAACAAUUGCACUGGUGUGAGGAGAAGAUGAGUAAAGUCAGAAUUUUAGAUGGGAAACUACAAAGAGAUUCC
rnacentral:lncRNA from 1 species